UACGUAGGGUGCAAGCGUUGUCCGGAAUUAUUGGGCGUAAAGGGCUCGUAGGCGGUCCAUCGCGUCGGGAGUGAAAAGCUGGGGCUUAACCCCAGUCCUGCUUCCGAUACGGGUGGACUAGAGGUAGGUAGGGGAGAACGGAAUUCCUGGUGUAGCGGUGAAAUGCGCAGAUAUCAGGAGGAACACCGGUGGCGAAGGCGGUUCUCUGGGCCUUACCUGACGCUGAGGAGCGAAAGCGUGGGGAGCGAACAGG
rnacentral:rRNA from 1 species